AGCGAACGCUGGCGGCAGGCUUAACACAUGCAAGUCGAGCGGGCCCUUCGGGGUCAGCGGCGGACGGGUGAGUAACGCGUGGGAACGUGCCUUCUGGUUCGGAAUAACCCUGGGAAACUAGGGCUAAUACCGGAUACGCCCUUAUGGGGAAAGGUUUACUGCCGGAAGAUCGGCCCGCGUCUGAUUAGCUAGUUGGUGGGGUAAUGGCCUACCAAGGCGACGAUCAGUAGCUGGUCUGAGAGGAUGAUCAGCCACACUGGGACUGAGACACGGCCCAGACUCCUACGGGAGGCAGCAGUGGGGAAUAUUGGACAAUGGGCGCAAGCCUGAUCCAGCCAUGCCGCGUGAGUGAUGAAGGCCUUAGGGUUGUAAAGCUCUUUUAUCCGGGACGAUAAUGACGGUACCUCCGGAAUCAGCCCCGGCUAACUCUGUGCCAGCAGCCGCGGUAA
rnacentral:rRNA from 1 species